AUGGGGAACGGGCCAUAGGUUAAGAGCCAUCUUCCCUGCCACGAGUGUGUGGGUAUAGUCAAACAGGUUGACGUUGCCCCAUGCUAGAGGACAGUGCUCCUAAAAUGUAAACACAAAGCAGAUGGAGAGGCAGAGCCGGGCAGCACGGGGGAUGUCUGGAAUGUACAUGUCGUAGCUCAGCCACUCGUUCCACCUGGAAGGAACAGAGACGAAAACAUUUCCAAAAUCAAAACACUGCAGCUGAGCAAGGCGAGAGCUACCUGAGAGCAACACCAUCUGAUGGACUCCCAGUUGUGUACUACCUGGGGUUUGAGCACGGCACGCGCUGAGUGUUUACAUUGUCACACAGCUGCUCCCCUCCAUGGUAUAUCCCUGUCCUGACGUAGAUCUAGAACAGCAACAAGGACAAUACAAUUCUACAGUUAUCUAUCUUAUGAGAAAGAUCUCUCUCACUUCAUUUCUGACUGGAUGAAGUGAAGGACAAUAUAAAAUAUCUUCCAGUAUCCCAAAGCUUACUAAAGAUAAGCAUGCC